GCCAGGCAUGGUGGUGCAUGCCUGUAGUCCCAGCUACUUGGGAGGCUGAGGCAGAAGAAUCACUUGAACCUGGGAGGCAGAGGUUGCAGUGAGCCGAGAUAGUGCCACUGCACUCCAGCCUCGGUGACAGAGUGAGACUCUGUCUCAA
rnacentral:SRP_RNA from 1 species